rnacentral:rRNA from 1 species
UACGUAGGGUGCAAGCGUUGUCCGGAAUUAUUGGGCGUAAAGAGCUCGUAGGCGGUCUGUCGCGUCUGCUGUGAAAACUCGGGGCUUAACCCCGGGCCUGCAGUGGGUACGGGCAGACUAGAGUGCGGUAGGGGAGACUGGAAUUCCGGGUGUAGUGGUGGAAUGCGUAGAGAUCCGGAGGAACACCAGCGGCGAAGGCGGCAUCCUGGACUGGUCCUGACACUCAGGAGCGAAAGCGUGGGGAGCGAUCCGG